GAUGAACGCUGGCGGCGUGCUUAACACAUGCAAGUCGAACGAUGAAGCCGGAGCUUGCUCUGGUGGAUUAGUGGCGAACGGGUGAGUAACACGUGAGUAACCUGCCCUUGACUCUGGGAUAAGCGUUGGAAACGACGUCUAAUACCGGAUACGAGCUUCAGUCGCAUGACUAGGAGCUGGAAAGAAUUUCGGUCAAGGAUGGACUCGCGGCCUAUCAGCUAGUUGGUGAGGUAACGGCUCACCAAGGCGACGACGGGUAGCCGGCCUGAGAGGGUGACCGGCCACACUGGGACUGAGACACGGCCCAGACUCCUACGGGAGGCAGCAGUGGGGAAUAUUGCACAAUGGGCGAAAGCCUGAUGCAGCAACGCCGCGUGAGGGACGACGGCCUUCGGGUUGUAAACCUCUUUUAGUAGGGAAGAAGCGAAAGUGACGGUACCUGCAGAAAAAGCACCGGCUAACUACGUGCCAGCCGCCGCCGUAAAAC
rnacentral:rRNA from 1 species